rnacentral:rRNA from 1 species
CGGCACCUCAAGUGGUCAGGAUGAUUAUUGGGCCUAAAGCAUCCGUAGCCGGCGCUGUAAGUUUUCGGUUAAAUCUGUACGCUCAACAUACAGGCUGCCGGGAAUACUGCAGAGCUAGGGAGUGGGAGAGGUAGACGGUACUCGGUAGGAAGGGGUAAAAUCCUUUGAUCUAUUGAUGACCACCUGUGGCGAAGGCGGUCUACCAGAACACGUCCGACGGUGAGGGAUGAAAGCUGGGGGAGCAAACCGGAUUAGAUACCCGAGUAGUCC